ensembl:lncRNA
UGUGAUGUUUGUGGCAAGGGAUACUUGUAGGAUUAAUUUAAAUGGAACCAAUGUUAUGCUUUAUUUUAAAUUAAUUUAAUGCAUUGUGUGUUCUGAUUUUAUUUUUUCUGAUGUUUUGCUGCAGGUCAAAAGCUAGAACAAGUUACUCUCCUUUCAAGUGAACAAGUUACUUUCAGGAAAGAAAGAAAGCUGGAAUCAGGUCUUCCACUUCAGAAAACAGGGGUAUAUUGACUUUGAGGUACCUCAAAGAUAUCCUGGGGACAGAGCCUGAGUAGAAGAUACAGAGUUGGAGAAGAAUCCUCAGGAGUGGUUGAACAGAGAGAAUUGAGUAAGUACAGACAAGAACUUUAAGCAGAAUUAUAGUAGUAUCCAUCCAACCCAAAAAGGAAGCAGAGUAGCAGCCGAACUAAGUUCAAGGUAUUGUCAAGGUUGAAGAGUUCUUACGGGCAAUGAGGAGGAUGUGUAUCCUUCAGGAGAGCAUUUUCAGUGGCACAGCAAUGGAUCAGCAGCAUUUCUCAGAGUGAGACAUCUUCAUCAAAAUCUUCUUGCAGUGGUUAACAAAUGCCAACCCUCUGGAUUUCAACAAGGAAGGGGUGAAAGCCUGGGGAAUCUGCACUUCUAACACUGUCUAUCUUCCGCCAAAAAUUCUUUAUGGACUGACACUAUGGGUAAAAAAAAAGACGAGAGAAGGAGCAAAUGGAAGCUGUUUGAAUUCUUUGGUGGUUCAGGGAAGAGACAGGAAGGGUAGAGAUGGUUCAUAGAGGUUGGUGGAAGUUGGAAUAUAUUCUACAUAUAUUUAUGGCAAGCAGGUAAAGGGAUCAAGACUACAGAUAGAGUAGCCUUGGAAAGACACUCCUUCCUCUGAUAGUUUGAUGAAAUUCUUGAGAAAACCCUUAAAGGGGACCUGGAAUACCAGCACAGUCGUGUUUUUACGUGAACAGGGAGUGAUGUUGCCAGGUUACAAUCAUCUAUCCUUUAUAGUAAGAUAUAUGUGCCAAGGGAGGAAUGAAUAACACCAGCUAGUUCUGUCUGAAGCCUCAUUUUCAAGUUUCUUUUUGAUAUGUAUCACCCUACAUAGGUAUGUAUCCUAAAAUAAAGCUAGGGAAGUUGUAAUUGGAUUUUACCACACAAUUAACCACAGCUCAGGAACGUAGUAUAUAGGGUCAGGAAAUCUAAAUCAUUUGCUGAAGCUGCCAGGAUCCAGAAAAGUUUGGCUGUAGGCUGCAUUUUUACAUUAUAUGAUUGAAAUUUUCUAUAAUAAUAAAAUGUAAAAGACAGCUUAUAUUUCAUUUAGAAAGCCAAUUAUUUUAGUUUAUGGUUCAUUCUUUCCUCCCAGAGCUUCCUGCAGACUGUGGGCUGAUUCAGAGAAAACCAAAAUAUGUGAGAGUAUCUGAGCAAAAAAGUACCUUUAUGACAUGACACUUGGGGUAGAGGGAGUACCCACUAUAGUCAAAAUUUUUAUUGCUUUCCUCUUCCUUAAGAUAUUGUCCAGUGACAUUCUAGUAUACAGUAAUGAAAAGGGAAGUGGUAACAUGCCCAGGAUAAUUAAUUACUACGCAAGUGAGAACAGCUAGUCUGGACAACCAAUGAC